rnacentral:rRNA from 1 species
GAUGAACGCUAGCUACAGGCUUAACACAUGCAAGUCGAGGGACCGGCGCACGGGUGAGUCACACGUAUCCAACCUUCCCUUUACUCGGGGAUAUCCUUUCGAAAGAAAGAUUCAUACCCGAUAUAAAGGGUGGGGCGGCGUUGCAUUAGGUUGUUGGUGAGGUAACGGCGCACCAAGCCUGCGAUGGAUAGGGGUUCUGAGAGGAAGGUCACCGGCAUUGGAACGGAGGCACGGCCCAAACGCCUACGGGAGGCAGCAGUGAGGGAGAUUGGUGAAUGAGCGCUAGCCUGAACCAGCCAAGUAGCGUGAAGGAGGAAGGCUUAUGGGUCGUAAACAUCUUUUAUACAAGAAGAUGUAUUAUAUGAAUAAGCAUCGGCUAACUCCGUGCCAGCAGCCGCGGUAAUAC